CCAGCGACUGCGUGGAUACUUUAUUCUCUAUCGAUGGCAUAUUUACAUGGAAUUAAACGAAGGAAAAUAUUUCCUAGAAAUGGUUUAGUGCUAAACACCAUAUGAAGGGAAAAAUUGCAAUUACAUAGGUUACUGAUGACUGUGUGGAUAUCUGAUAAACUCCAUCGACGGCAUCUCUUACCAGCUUCUGAGAAACGACUUGAAGGAUAAUAUUUUUAUUUUAAGUUGUCAGACGUUGAAGAUGUUAUGAAAGAAAAAUAAUUGCAAAUAUCAGAGAAGUAAAAAGGACGUUAUGGGAGGACGCGCUAUAUUAAAAAAACUAAUGUGACCUGGAAUACCGGCAUUUAAAAGAAAAAAAUUUGUUUCCUUUCUGGACACCUCGCUUUGAAUUUUUUUUUU